UGGGGAAUCUUGCGCAAUGGACGAAAGUCUGACGCAGCCAUGCCGCGUGAGUGAUGAAGGCCCUCGGGUCGUAAAGCUCUGUCCAAGGGGACGAAAAAGGUGUUGGUGAAUAUCCAGCAUCUCUGACGGUACCCUUGAAGAAAGCACCGGCUAACUCCGUGCCAGCAGCCGCGGUAAUACGGAGGGUGCAAGCGUUGUUCGGAAUUACUGGGCGUAAAGCGCGCGCAGGCGGCAUUAUAAGUCGGGUGUGAAAUCCCUGGGCUUAACCCAGGACGUGCGCCUGAUACUGUGAUGCUAGAAUCUGGGAGAGGGAUGUGGAAUUCCUGGUGUAGAGGUGAAAUUCGUAGAGAUCAGGAGGAACACUCGUGGCGAAGGCGACAUCCUGGACCAAGAUUGACGCUGAGGCGCGAAAGCGUGGGGAGCAAACAGGAUUAGAUA
rnacentral:rRNA from 1 species